rnacentral:rRNA from 1 species
UAGAGUUUGAUCCUGGCUCACAUUGAACGCUGGCGGCAUGCUUUACACAUGCAAGUCGAACGGCAGCGCGGGGCAACCUGGCGGCGAGUGGCGAACGGGUGAGUAAUACAUCGGAACGUACCCAGAAGUGNNNGAUAACGUAGCGAAAGUUACGCUAAUACCGCAUACGUUCUACGGAAGAAAGUGGGGGAUCUUCGGACCUCAUGCUUUUGGAGCGGCCGAUGUCUGAUUAGCUAGUUGGUGAGGUAAAGGCUCACCAAGGCGACGAUCAGUAGCUGGUCUGAGAGGACGACCAGCCACACUGGGACUGAGACACGGCCCAGACUCCUACGGGAGGCAGCAGUGGGGAAUUUUGGACAAUGGGCGCAAGCCUGAUCCAGCAAUGCCGCGUGAGUGAAGAAGGCCUUCGGGUUGUAAAGCUCUUUUGUCAGGGAAGAAACGGCUGGGGCUAAUAUCCCCGGCUAAUGACGGUACCUGAAGAAUAAGCACCGGCUAACUAC